rnacentral:rRNA from 1 species
GAUGAACGCUGGCGGCGUGCUUAACACAUGCAAGUCGAACGAGAAAUGAUAUUACGAUCUCUUCGGAGUGAUGAUUUUAUUUCGAGUGGCGGACGGGUGAGUAACGCGUGAGCAACCUGCCCUAUACCGGGGGAUACCAGUUGGAAACGACUGUUAAUACCGCAUAAGCGCACGAUAAGACAUCUUGUUGUGUGAAAAACUCCGGUGGUAUAGGAUGGGCUCGCGUAUGAUUAGCCAGUUGGCGGGGUAAAGGCCCACCAAAGCGACGAUCAUUAGCCGACCUGAGAGGGCGACCGGCCACAUUGGGACUGAGACACGUGCCAGACUCCUACGGGAGGCAGCAGUGGGGAAUAGUUGCACAAUGGGCGAAAGCGCUGAUGCAGCGACGCCGCGUGAGUGAGGAAGUAUUUCGGUAUGUAAAGCGUCUAUCAGCAGGGAAGAAAGAAAUGACGG